rnacentral:lncRNA from 1 species
AUACAUAUGUAAAUAUUUGCCUAUUUGAAAACUUCACAGUGCUUUCUGUGCCUGUAACUGUGACCCUGUCCAUGUCCACAGAUCAUUCUACAUUUUUUGAGGCUAAAAUUAACAUCACCACUGACUCUAGUAUCUAAGCAACACCAAAAGAGUAGUUAUAGAUAAACACAGCAUGGUCAAUAACUCAAAAAGAACAAAUUAGGAAUCUCCCCUUGGUGUAGGGAUGGAAAUUAUCUGGUUCCACCCCUGGAUAUGAUCAACCUUCAUAGACUGUGCAUUAUACAUGCCAUCUCUGCGACCUGCAAAGAUGAAAAGGGAAAGCAGGAGAUGGAAACUGGUCAGCAGCCUUCUGGUUUAUCAGCCACACUUACAAAGGUCAAAUGUGCAAAGCGUCAGAAGACAGUGGUUAGAGUGAGAUUCUACAUGCUCUCAAUGAAGAAUAAAGCAUGCAGGAAGAACCUUUCAAAAGGUUACAACCAGAGACCUGAAGGAAGCAAGGAAGAAAGCCACAUGGUUGUCAAAGAGAAGAGGAAAGGAGAUCACUAAGCUGGAUGACGUUUUCUGUUUCUUUGAAAACAGAGAAGAUGACAAGUUAGGGAGAGAUCAGAGGUCAUACUGUGAAGCACCUUUGGAUAAACGGCAGGGACUUUGGAUUUUCUUUUUGAAUAUAAGCAUAAUCCAUUGAAAGGUCUCAUGCAGGGAAGUGGCAAAACACUUUUAAAAUUUUUCAUCUUUUCUUUCUGAAGCAGAGUUCACUCUCCAUUUAUUUGUCUUCUUUGAUAUCUCUCAAUAGAAUGUUGCAGUUUUAGUAUUCUCCUAUUAAACAUUUGUUUAACU